AUUUUUGGUUCCGGAGAGAGCUCACAUCGAUGGAAAGGUUUGGCAUCUCGAUGUCGGCUCUUCACCACCUGGGACUGUAGUAUGUUCCAAGGGUUGGGUUGUUCGUCCAUUAAGUAGUACGUGAGCUGGUUCAGAACGUCGUGAGAAUUC
rfam:Nicotiana attenuata strain TT chromosome 1, whole genome shotgun sequence.